rnacentral:rRNA from 1 species
GAAAGCGAUGCUAAUACCGGAUAAUAUCUUAAAAACCUCGGUUUUAAAGAUCAAAGGUGGCCUCUACAUGUAAGCUACUGUUUGAGGAUGAGCCCGCGUACCAUUAGCUUGUUGGUAGGGUAACGGCCUACCAAGGCUGCGAUGGUUAGCUGGUCUGAGAGGAUGAUCAGCCACACUGGAACUGACACACGGUCCAGACUCCUACGGGAGGCAGCAGUGAGGAAUUUUGCGCAAUGGGGGAAACCCUGACGCAGCAACGCCGCGUGAGUGAUGAAGGCUUUAGGGUCGUAAAGCUCUGUCAAGUGGGAAGAACCCACAUGGUGAUAAUACCCCAUGUGUUGACGGUACCACUGAAGGAAGCACCGGCUAACUCCGUGCCAGCAGCCGCGGUAAUACGGGGGGUGCAAGCGUUAUUCGGAAUUACUGGGCGUAAAGAGCGCGUAGGCGGUCUCUUAAGUCGGAUGUGAAAGCCCCGGGGCUCANCCCCGGAAAGUGCACUCGAAACUAAGGGACU